rnacentral:rRNA from 1 species
CGUAACAAGGUCUCCGUUGGUGAACCAGCGGAGGGAUCAUUACCGAGUUUACAACUCCCAAACCCAAUGUGAACGUUACCAAACUGUUGCCUCGGCGGGGUCACGCCCCGGGUGCGUCGCAGCCCCGGAACCAGGCGCCCGCCGGAGGAACCAACCAAACUCUUUCUGUAGUCCCCUCGCGGACGUAUUUCUUACAGCUCUGAGCAAAAAUUCAAAAUGAAUCAAAACUUUCAACAACGGAUCUCUUGGUUCUGGCAUCGAUGAAGAACGCAGCGAAAUGCGAUAAGUAAUGUGAAUUGCAGAAUUCAGUGAAUCAUCGAAUCUUUGAACGCACAUUGCGCCCGCCAGUAUUCUGGCGGGCAUGCCUGUCCGAGCGUCAUUUCAACCCUCGAACCCCUCCGGGGGAUCGGCGUUGGGGAUCGGGACCCCUCACACGGGUGCCGGCCCCGAAAUACAGUGGCGGUCUCGCCGCAGCCUCUCCUGCGCAGUAGUUUGCACAACUCGCACCGGGAGCGCGGCGCGUCCACGUCCGUAAAACACCCAACUUUCUGAAAUGUUGACCUCGGAUCA